rnacentral:tRNA from 1 species
AGGGAUGUACCUCAGUUGGUAGAGUGCUUGCCUUGCAUGCACAAGGCCCUGGGUUCAAUCCCCAGCACCACAU